rnacentral:lncRNA from 1 species
AUUCUGCAGUUGGGGAAAGCGAGGCGCAGAGGAGGGUUAAGGGACCUCCUCACUGUCCCGGCCAGGGAGGGGCGGAUCCGCACUCCAACCCGCCUCUGUCAGGCUGGGCCUCUAAGCCGGGCCGUCCGCGCAGAGUCCGGGCGGAGCUGGGGGGUGUGGGGGGAAUGCUCGGGGCAGGAUCCGCUCCCGCGAUUAGCUCUGGGAGCGAAGUGGGAAGGGGCAGGGCGGGGCUGCAGAAGUCGGGACCCUCGAAUGGGAUCCGAGCCCGUGUGGCUACGCGAGGGGGAAGCCACCUGGGCUGCGUGGCUCCGGGGCGAACUGGGUGGGAUGGGAUUCGUAAAAAGAACUGGGUGGGUGAGAGGGAGCCAGUUUGAAACUCACUUUCCUCCUUUAUUUAUUUUAUUUUUAAAUUUGUGGCAGGGUGUUUGAAGAAAACAAGAAAACCACCCUCAUCCAGGAAACAACAACAACAAAGAGUUUUCUCUCUCUCUCUCUCUCAGUCUCCAGGGUCUCACUCCUGUCGCCUAAGGCUAGAGUGUAGUGCCGCGAUCUCGGCGCACCUGCGGCCUCGACUUCUCAGGCUCAAGCGAUCCUCCCACCUCAGCCUCCUGAAUAGCUGGGACUACAGGCGCAUUCCACCACGCCCGGCUAUUUUUUUUGUAUUUUUAGUAGAGACGGGGCUUCGUCCUGUUGUCGAGGUUGGUCUCGAACUCCUGGCCUUAAGCAAUCCACCCUCCUCGGCCUCCCAAAGUGCUGGGCCUCCUUCUUUUCUUGUUGAGGUUCCCAUACGUGACUCGCCCAAAGAGAGAUUCUCACCGGGUGGGUCUGAGCAGCGCCAGAAAGGGAAGGGAUACAGGGUGAGAGAGAUUUGGGGUAAAGGGAGAGGGAGGCAGAGGGGGAAGGGGGCCCCAGGCCGGUCAGUUCCAAGAGGCGAGCCCCGCCGGCCGAGCUCCACGGGCUGAGUCAACAGCGGCCCAGUUGCUUUGUAAUUUACAAGAGGGACUCCGAAUGGUACUUUGUAAUUUGGUGUCGGUUUACAAGGCAAAGGACUUCUGUUUCCUCACCUCACCAGGUCCUCAGUCACGGCCUGACCCCUUUUAAGAGAGGGACCUCAAGAGGGGAGCUGAAUUCCUUGAGCCCUCGCCUUUCAAUCAAGUUUUCAAGGCACGCUUUGGCCGGGCCCUCCCGGACUGGCUGUGCUGCUACCUCCAGAGGAAAUCAACGUCUGUACCGAACUCCUAACCUGUGAAGACCUGCUGUCCUCAUAAUUGCGGAGUGGGGCCAAGGAAGGCUACUCUUUCCCCUUUGCAGAUGAGGCAACUGAGGCAACUGAGCCGCAGAAAACUAACUGACCAAGAUCACCCAGCCAGUGGAACAAACAGCUCGAGCCCAGGCUCUCUGGCUCCUAUUCCCUCUGAAUAUUUAAUUUACUAAACUGUUUGAGCAGCCGUAGAUUCCCUUCACAAUCCGGUAAAAUCUAUAAUUACUCCUCCCCUUCCCCAAAAUGUACUUAUUUUCCCAUUCAAUAUCGGAGCUUCUCGGACUUCCUGAAGUUAGUCCCAGGAUAAAGAUCCUCUUUCUCCUCCCCCUUGCCCCGCCCCACGACCUCGCUUCCCAGUAAUUGCUGGGAUCCCGAUUCUCUGGAGGCAUUCCGGGCGGAUUGAUUGAGUGUAAUUCAACUGAGUUAUGAUUACAGCUGCUGGUUCCCCUGUGCCGCAGACGGGUGUGUAGGGAGGGUGGGGCACGUGGAGAUGGGCAAGAUGUCUGGAGAGAGCAGUGGGGCUGUUGUGCACGUUUUUGCUAGAGGUGAGGGUUGAGAGCUAGGGAGGAAACAAUUCCGAGCCCACCCCGCUGGGACCCACGGGCUGAGGUCCUCCAGGUACUCACAUCAGAAGGGGUGCAGGGGAAUAAAAUUU